rnacentral:piRNA from 1 species
UCAGGGACCUUAAAUACAUUCCUGGAUGAGU